UCGGUCAGCUGUCAAAAGUGCAGGUGAGCGCCGUUGAUGAUUGAUUUUGUUGUUGUUCGAUUGUAAUGACGGUGGUCGUGGAAAAAGGCUCGGGAACAAAUUUACUUAAAUUUUGGAUUUGGAUUUGAAUUUCAAAUCACAUCAAAUGCAUCUUCAUGACUAAAACUUCACCUAAUAAAAGUGCCAAAUCCGUCUGACGAUGUCCAGCACGUACCGGAGUCUACCUUCUCCCAAUCCAAACAACACCACCGACAGUGUAGUGCAGUAUAUUGAACAUUGGCGAGCAAGAUAUUCCGCUUGUGGUAGUGUGACCAAAAAAGAACCCCAUUAGCGUAAAGUGUUGCAUACGAGGAAAAACAGGAACAAUAAAGGAUCGCAGCACAUUAGAAUAACCGUCAAGCAGAUAAAUAAAUUCAAGCUUAUUCAUGAGAAACUGCGAAACAGUUACCGUACAAUGUGUACCUAGUAUAUUUAUUUUUGUGGACGAUAUCUCGAUCCUCCAGCACCUUUGGAGCCGGAAUGUUCAGGACCGUCAUGCCAUCGACAUCGAACCAACAUCCCAACCACAAUAGCCCUUACGAGUACAUCAGGGUCAUGCCAGUAAUAUACUGCAACAGGUGGCGCCUAGGGACUAUUCACAGAUUAAGUAACGCACAAAUGGAUUUUUAAUUCCCGUCUCCCUAUCGUAAAAAAAUGUGGAAAAGUUCUUUUUUGCUUAUACAGCGUUACUUAAUUUGUGAAAAGUCUCCUAGCUUUUCGUCUGAACCGCGAAAGCGCAAAGUGGGAAAAACUGUAUCCCGUAAAUUUGACACCAAUGAAGGAAGGCUAUAAAUGUGACGUUGAAAAAUAUUGAGUUUGCUUCGAACAACCGAAAACGCUUAGACCCACAAAAACGCUCAACGAUUGUCGCUGCUAGUAAAUAGUGUGAUUCACGAAGGUUCAGGAAUUGGACAACGUCGCAUACGGAUCUGUGAAGGGAACACUACAAGAUUCCUCGCUUUUUUCAGCUGAAGUUGGGUAAUGGAGUUCAAAUGACCGUUGUGUACGCUGUGUAUCACAAAAUUUUAAUAAAACAAAUCGUCGAUUAAUAAGACAAUACGUUGUGAAAAUAUUUCAUUGAUCCAGUCGCUUUAUACUAUACUAAGAAAAAUGCAGGAUAUUACGUAGUUAUACUUCGAUUGUACUUCCUACAAGCGUCAAGUAAUUUGUAAAUGACCCGUUACCACGUAUACAAAAUAAGCUGUUUGAAUUUAUUGUAGAAGAGUAAAAUUGUAAAUGCCACGAAUAAUCACCGUCACGGAGUAAUAAAUGUGAAAAUCAAUUGCUUAAUUUAUUAUAACCAAGAAUAAAAGAAUGUCAUAAAUGUUCGGAAUUAACAGUAGUCAAAGGUAAAUAUGAAUAUUACAAACAAAUAGUAAUUAAAAUCAUCAUUACGUUGUAAUGUUGAACUGGAAUAAAAACUCAAAGGUUG